UGGGGAAUAUUGGACAAUGGGCGCAAGCCUGAUCCAGCCAUGCCGCGUGAGUGAUGAAGGCCCUAGGGUUGUAAAGCUCUUUUGUGCGGGAAGAUAAUGACGGUACCUGGAGAAUAAGCCCCGGCUAACUUCGUGCCAGCAGCCGCGGUAAUACGAAGGGGGCUAGCGUUGCUCGGAAUCACUGGGCGUAAAGCGCACGUAGGUGGGUCGUUAAGUCGGGGGUGAAAUCCUGGAGCUCAACUCCAGAACUGCCUUCGAUACUGGCGAUCUUGGAGUCCGGGAGAGGUGAGUGGAACUGCGAGUGUAAAGGUGAAAUUCGUAGAUAUUCGCAAGAACACCAGUGGCGAAGGCGGCUCACUGGCCCGGUACUGACACUGAGGUGCGAAAGCGUGGGGAGCAAACA
rnacentral:rRNA from 1 species